ACCCAGCGUGAGUCAUCACAUCUCCAGGCCCUGGAAGUCUUCACAGCUCAUUGGCUCUGCACCCCAAGCAGGAAGGUCCUCAGAGGAGGACCAGACGUUGGAAGACUUUACCAAAACCAGGAAUAAGUCGGCAGAGAAAAAUAAGAGGCGCCAUGGGAGCUAAGCACGUGUGCUGAAAAAAAUUCAGGGGGCAGAGCUCGGCGAGUGAUGCACCCCCUCAUGAGUUCAAGACCCCAGCUCCAGUCUCUGGCACCCACGUGAAUGUUGGGUGAGUGGGGCAACCCACUGAUAAUCUCAGCCAUCAGGCAGAGACAGAGGAUUCCUGGGGCAAGCUAAUGAACUAGACCAGCUGACUCAGUAAACAGAAAUGUACUUCAGCAGAUACUAAGGGAGAAAGAGAGCCGAGUAGGAUCUGCCAAGAAGCAUAUAAGCACCAUCUUUAAGUGCCCGUCACUGCCCACUCACCGAAUGGAUUGGAUAAUAGCAAGGAGAGCUGGUUCGAUUCUAAGGAAGAGAAACCACACUGGAGAGACAGGAGGCAAGCUGUCCUAGCUCGUGACAACAGAGCUGCUGGUUCAAUAAUCUCCUGGUUGUGUCUAAAAGUUGAAACUUGGGUUUUGGAAACAUGCAACCAUUGCAAGGACUUCAAAACACCAACAAAAUAAACAACAAAGCCCAACGACUACCUCUUCACUGCAGAGCAUCCUUCCUUUCCUUGGCAUCAGCCAAUAGGGUGUAACU